UUCAUAGACUGCUCACAUUAGGCAGUAGUCAGUCCACGUCAGCACACAGCAUGGACAUGAGGACCCUUGCUCAGCUCCUGGGGAUCCUGCUGCUCUGGCUUGCAGGUGCCAAGUGUGAUAUCCAGAUGACCCAGUCUCCAUCUUCACUAUCUGUGUCUCUAGGAGACACUGCCACCAUCACUUGCAGGGCCAGUGAGGAUAUUGAGUAUUAUUUAGCCUGGUACCAGCAGCAACCAGGGAAAGCUCCUAAACCCUUGAUCUACGGUGCAGAUAUUUUGGAGUCCGGAGUUCCAUCAAGGUUCAGUGGGAGUCAAUCUGGGACAGAGUUCACUCUCAGGAUCAGUGGCCUGGAGCCCGAAGAUGUUGCCACUUAUUACUGUCAACAGUGUAGCAGUUUCCCUCCCACAUUCACUCUCGCCAUCAGCAGCCUGCAGCCUGAAGAUGCGGCAACAUAUUUCUGUCAACACAGUGAUAGUUUACCUCCCACAGUGACAGAAGUCAUAACAAAAACCUCCCAGAGAAGCAGAACUGCCAUGGGCUCUCAGAAUGCAGAGCAGAGCAUAUCUUCUGAGACCCCACUCAGCUGA